UUUAAUUAUCAUAUAUAAAAGUGAAAAUAUAAAAUAUAUAUUAAUUUUAGUUGGGGCAACUGGGAGGGAUAAAAAUCUUUUAUUAAAUCAUUUAUAGUAAUAUUUAUAUUUAUGAUCCAAAUUAGUUAAUUUUGAACUUAGAAU
rnacentral:rRNA from 1 species